rnacentral:rRNA from 1 species
AUUGAACGCUGGCGGCAGGCUUAACACAUGCAAGUCGAGCGGAGAUGAGGUGCUUGCACCUUAUCUUAGCGGCGGACGGGUGAGUAAUGCUUAGGAACCUGCCUAUUAGUGGGGGACAACAUUCCGAAAGGAAUGCUAAUACCGCAUACGUCCUACGGGAGAAAGCAGGGGAUCUUCGGACCUUGCGCUAAUAGAUGAGCCUAAGUCGGAUUAGCUAGUUGGUGGGGUAAAGGCCUACCAAGGCGACGAUCUGUAGCGGGUCUGAGAGGAUGAUCCGCCACACUGGGACUGAGACACGGCCCAGACUCCUACGGGAGGCAGCAGUGGGGAAUAUUGGACAAUGGGGGGAACCCUGAUCCAGCCAUGCCGCGUGUGUGAAGAAGGCCUUAUGGUUGUAAAGCACUUUAAGCGAGGAGGAGGCUACUGGGACUAAUACUCUUGGAUAGUGGACGUUACUCGCAGAAUAAGCACCGGCUAACUCUGUGCCAGCCGCCCGCCGUAACAC